UUUCAGAAUUAUGUUUGCAAUAACCCCGAUGAAAACGGUUGUCAACCUUUCGGGACAUGACUAUAAUGAAUGUUUAUGGAAUGAUAGUUUUAUAAGCAAGUCAACUUUGUAUUAUGAAAGUAUGCAAGAUGAGAGGAAAAUCCUCAAAUUUAGUUGUGGUGCUAAGAGUUAUCGCUUCAAAAAGCACAGAACUUAUCGCUGUGGUAAUAGACGCUUCUGUGAAGAAUAAGCCUUAUACUAACGAGUGGAAUCGCAAAGUCACUAAGGUAAUCCAAACUAACACAGUCUGUUUUGAUGUCUGAGAAAUCAGGCUAUAAGGUAAGUCGCUGGUAAAAGUAGCCAUAUGACAGUAUUGGAACUUUUCUUUAUAAGUAAUAGCAAAUAUUAUGAAUUAAUGAAGAUUUUAGAUGCUGAAUGACUGGUGAAAUUUGUGUAUAACCAAUUACACACAAGCUCUGAGAGGAAUCUACGGUAAGAAGCUAUGGGGUCGCUACUCAUAGUUCAGCCUUAUCGUCUUGGUGGCUGAAUAUUGGAGAAGAUAAUGGAGGUACGGCGAAGGUCGUAUUGCAAACAUAAUUGUGG
rnacentral:ncRNA from 1 species